CACCUCUCAGGGUCACACCUGGAGAAUGUCCAGUAUUCUACCAGUCUUGACUAUGGGAGGGAGAGUCAAGUAGAGGUAUAGCCAUUCGAUUCCUAGCUUGGUCAGGGGGUAGAGAGUGGAAGGCAAUUUGCUACAAGU